GCGCCUGUAGCUCAAGAGGAUAGAGCAACAGCCUUCUAAGUUGUAGGUUGGGCGUUCGAGUCGCCCCAGGCGCGCCA
rnacentral:tRNA from 1 species